rnacentral:rRNA from 1 species
AUUGAACGCUAGCGGCAUGCCUAACACAUGCAAGUCGAACGGCAGCACGAGGAGCUUGCUCCUUGGUGGCGAGUGGCGGACGGGUGAGUAACGCGUAGGAAUCUGCCUCGUAGUGGGGGACAACCCGGGGAAACUCGGGCUAAUACCGCAUAAUCUCUUCGGAGAAAAGUUGGGGAGCUUCGGGCCUAACACUUGGAGAUGAGCCUGCGUUGGAUUAGCUAGUUGGUGGGGUAAAGGCCGACCAAGGCGAGGAUCCAUAGCUGGUCUGAGAGGACGACCAGCCACACUGGGACUGAGACACGGCCCAGACUCCUACGGGAGGCAGCAGUGGGGAAUAUUGGACAAUGGGCGAAAGCCUGAUCCAGCAAUGCCGCGUGUGUGAAGAAGGCCUUCGGGUUGUAAAGCACUUUUAGUGGGGAAGAAAAAGACAAGGAUAAUACCCUUGGAAAUUGACGUUACCCACAGAAAAAGCACUGGCUAACUCUGUGCCAGCAGCCGCCGCGG